rnacentral:lncRNA from 1 species
GACGACGACGGACGCCAAGUGAUGAGAAAAGCUCACAUGGCCUUUUAGGCCAGGUGAGCUAAAAAAGCGGGAAAAGGCUGAUUUGGACUUUUACCUUACAUUUGCAUUAGUAUUAUUUGUGUCUCAAAUCGAAAGAACAAAAAUUAAGAAAUUGCUCAAAUUUUGUAAAAUGGCCUUUUAUGAGCAAUUGAAGUAUUUUAUACAAAGAAAAUGGGUGUUAUGGGGCAAAAAAUUUAACCCAGUACUGAUGGAAAAAUACCAAGGUGUCUGAACAUUUGACACCAAUUUCCAAAACCUCACCUACUUAGUAAGUACAUCCUUAAUGUAUAGCAGCUUAUUUAUUCCAAAACAUUUUGUUAUUAUAUGCAAUAUACAAAAAUGGUGUUUAGUAGAUGAUUUAAGUAAAAUCAUGUUGUUGAAAAGAAUCAUUUUACCUAAACAUAAUUUUCAAGAGAGAAUUAUACCAAAACAUUGUUUUGAAUAAAUGGAUGAUUUUUAAUGAAACAUUGUUUAAAGUACAUGAAUUAUAUCAAAAUAAGCUGUAAACAUAUAUGGAUUAUACCAAAACAUGUUUGUUUAAAGAAUAAAUUAUACCACAACAUGCUUAAUGUACAUGUAUGACCUAUAACACAACAUUUUGUUUGAUAUUUAUAUUAAACAAUAUGCCACAACAUGUUGUUUAAUAUAUAAAAAUCAAUAUGGUUUAUCUUCUACCUUUGUCAAUAUAAAAACACUAGGAUUAUCAACAUUGGCACACAUGUGCUUUAUAUUGAACUGAAAGUUUUAGUAAGUUCCAAUAAGAAAAGGGAAGUCUACAAUAAAGAUAAUACUACUGGUAAAUGGCACUGAAUUAAACAGAACACAUUAUUCCUGUGAAAAGCUGACAUCUUAUCAAAAUAAUAUAAAUCCCAGGGGCGGAUCCAUUUAUUUUUUAAAGGGGGUCCCAACCCAGGUGGGCUCAAACUAUAUCUCCCCAUUGAAAUGCAUUGACCGUGCAAAAAAAUGAGAGGUUCCAACCCCGGAACCCCCCUCUGGAUCCGCCACUGAAUCCUGAAUCUAUGCCUAUGAGAACGUUAGCCAAGUUGUGUUCUUGCACUUAUUGAGUGUUUUUUUUACCCAGGCUAUAACCAAAGUUUUCUAGUAAAUUUUCUAGAAAUGUUCAGUAUAUAAUGAAAAAAAUAAAAAGUUAUCUUUAAACCCUUUUAUUAUUCAGAUUUUUAACUGAAAUAAAGAAAAGUCAUUUUAACUAUAAAGAGUCCAGCAUUUUGAAAUAAGGGUAAUAAUAAUUUUUGUGUUUUUAAAUGGUUAAGUUUAAAAUUUUAAAUUAUAAAAAAGAAAUAAAAAAAUCUUGAUUCAGUUUAUUUAAAAAAGAGUUAAAAUUCAAAAAUAUUAUCAACAAAAUAUUGUGAUUAAUGCCAAAUGUAAGAUUGCUGUAAAAUAAUGUGCUUAUAAUGGAAAAAUAUAUGCAAAUACUGUUAACAAAUAAUUUAUUCAACAGAAAAACAUGACAUAGAUAAAUGACAUGUCCUUGAUAGUAUUUACACAUGCACUUUAAAAUAAGGAUAUAUUAAGGUAAGUUAAAAUACAUAAUGCAUAGAUAUUGGUUAGAUGUAAUGUUUAAAUAUUUUUCAUAAUAUACUCCAGAAAUAUAUUGCACUUUUUUUAUUCUAAAAUAUUCUUACAAUGGAA